CCGGGAUCGAACCAGAGACCUUGGGAUGACAAACCGAUUACAGUCCCACGCUCUUCCAACUGAGCUAAGAAGGGGUUUGAUGGGGAGAUCGACUACAACAU